GCUGGCAUGGCUCAGUGGUUGAGCGUCAACCUAUGAACCAGGAGGUCAAGGUUCAAUUCCCUGUCCAGGCA
rnacentral:tRNA from 1 species